UGAUGUUUGGAUGUGUCUGAGUUUCUUCC
rnacentral:piRNA from 1 species